CAUUUCCCCUUCCGAGCGCUUCGCCGCUCUCCCUCUCCUCCCCUUUCUUAUUCCCUCGUGAAGCUCCAUGUCUCCAUGCCUUGAUGGAUUUUUCGUGAAGGUUUCGUCGUCAGAAUCCGAUUUUGGUGGCUGACGAUGUCCCAGGCGGACGUGGUUUACAGAUCACAACAUAAAAGGAUAAUUUUCAGACCAACAUGUAUUUUGAAGGCUUUAUGAUAAUGUCAUGAUGCUGGUACUUUGUUGAGUUGAUGCUAACAUCAUCACAUGAUGACAUUGUUGCAGCUCUUGUGGGUAUCCUUUGAAUUUAAGUUCUUCUAAUCAAGUCACAUCUGGGAUUCGAUCUGAUUGUCAAAAAUCUAGCAAAAAAGGAGUCAUUUCUUUUGUUUCUGUUGAUCUUAGU